UAUGUGAUCGUCUCUCGCAUAUCAAUAAGCGGAGGAAAAGAAACUAACAAGGAUUCCCCUAGUAACGGCGAGUGAAGCGGGAAGAGCUCAAAUUUGAAAUCUUAAAGGGUUUCCCUUUACGAAUUGUAGUUUAAAGAAGUGUUUUCUGUUGAGGUUUUGGUAAAAGUUCUUUGGAAUAGGACAUCAUAGAGGGUGAGAAUCCCGUAUUUGACCUUUACUUUCAACUUUGUGAUACACUUUCAAAGAGUCGGAUUGUUUGGGAAUGCAGUCCAAAAUGGGUGGUAAAUUUCAUCUAAAGCUAAAUAUUGGCGAGAGACCGUUAGCGAACAAGUACCGUGAGGGAAAGAUGAAAAGAACUUUGAAAAGAGAGUUAAACAGUACGUGAAAUUGUCAAAAGGGAAGCGUUUGACACCAGUGUUGUUUUUCUGAAAAUCAAUUAAAGAACUGUUUAUGCUAAGUUGUUUAGACUUUAUCAGCUAACUGUUUAGUUUUGAGCUUUUCUUUAAUGCACUUUUCAGUUAACAAGUCAACAUCAAUUUCUUUUGCUGUAAAAAAGCUUGAGGAAGGUGGCUUGAGAUUCGUCUUAAGUGUUUAUAGCCUCUUGCCUAUGCAGUCGGAGAGAUUGAGGUCUGCAGCGUAGAUCCUUCGGGGCUAAAUGCAUUUGUGCUAAGUUAUAGCAUUUUAUAGACAACUUGUUGACUAUGAUUUGUCUUGUAGCUUACUCGCUUAUGUUAUUUUACCUACGCUUAGGAUGUUGAGUAGCGACAUACGCAC
rnacentral:rRNA from 1 species